rnacentral:rRNA from 1 species
UACGGAGGGUGCCAGCGUUGUCCGGAUUCAUUGGGUUUAAAGGGUGCGUAGGCGGAAGAGUAAGUCAGUGGUGAAAGCCUGCAGCUUAACUGCAGAAUUGCCAUUGAUACUGCUCAUCUUGAGUACAUUUGAUGUGGGCGGAAUGUGUCAUGUAGCGGUGAAAUGCAUAGAUAUGACACAGAACACCGAUUGCGAAGGCAGCUCACAAAACUGUAACUGACGCUGAGGCACGAAAGCGUGGGGAGCAAACAGG